AUUGAACGCUGGCGGCAGGCCUAACACAUGCAAGUCGAGCGAGUGGCGGACGGGUGAGUAAUGUCUGGGAAACUGCCCGAUGGAGGGGGAUAACUACUGGAAACGGUAGCUAAUACCGCAUACCAUCGGAUGUGCCCAGAUGGGAGUAGCUUGUAGGUGAGGUAAAGGCUCACCUAGGCGACGAUCCCUAGCUGGUCUGAGAGGAUGACCAGCCCCACUGGAACUGAGACACGGCCCAGACUCCUACGGGAGGCAGAAGUGGGGAAUAUUGCACAAGGGGCGUAAGCCUGAUGCAGCCAUGCCGCGUGUAUGAAGAAGGCCUUCGGGUUGUAAAGUACUUUCAGCGGGGAGGCGUUACCCGCAGAAGAAGCACCGGCUAACUCCGUGCCAGCAGCCGCGGUAAUAC
rnacentral:rRNA from 1 species